rnacentral:rRNA from 1 species
CCGUGCCAGCAGCCGCGGUAAUACGGAGGAUGCAGGCGUUAUCCGGAUUUAUUAGGUUUAAAGGGUGUUCAGGCUGUCUGGUAAGUCAGAGGUGAAAGUCGGUUGCUUAACGAUCGAAUUGCCUUUGAAACUGUCAGACUUGAGUAUGGAUGUGGUAGGCGGAAUGUGUAGUGUAGCGGUGAAAUGCAUAGAUAUUACACAGAACUCCAAUUGCGAAAGCAGCUUACCAAACCAGCACUGACGCUGAAGCACGAAAGCGUGGGUAGCGAACAGGAUUAGAUACCCUGGUAGUCCACGCAGUAAACGAUGCUCACUCGCUGUUGGCAAUACACCGUCAGCGGCUAAGGGAAACCGAUAAGUGAGCCACCUGGGGAGUACGAUCGCAAGAUUGAAACUCAAAGGAAUUGACGGGGGCCCGCACAAGCGGUGGAACAUGUGGUUUAAUUCGGUGAUACGCGAGGAACCUUACCUGGGCUUAAAUGUGAAGUGCAUUGUUUGGAAAUAGACAUUUCCUUCGGGACUCUUUACAAGGUGCUGCAUGGUUGUCGUCAGCUCGUGCCGUGAGGUGUCGGGUUAAGUCCCAUAACGAGCGCAACCCCUAUUGUUAGUUACCAGCGCGUCAAGGCGGGGACUCUAACGAGACUGCCGGUGUAAACCGCGAGGAAGGUGGGGAUGACGUCAAAUCAGCACGGCCCUUAUGUCCAGGGCUACACACGUGUUACAAUGGUCGGUACAGAGGGCAGCUAGGCAGCGAUGUCAAGCGAAUCUCGAAAGCCGAUCCCAGUUCGGAUUGGAGUCUGCAACCCGACUCCAUGAAGGGGAAUCGCUAGUA